rnacentral:rRNA from 1 species
GACGAACGCUGGCGGCGCGCCUAACACAUGCAAGUCGAACGAGCAAAGAGGAGCUUUGCUUCUCUGAGCGAGUGGCGAACGGGUGAGUAACGCGUGAGGAACCUGCCUCAAAGAGGGGGAACAACAGUUGGAAACGACUGCUAAUACCGCAUAAGCCCACGGGUCGGCAUCGACCAGAGGGAAAAGGAGCAAUCCGCUUUGAGAUGGCCUCGCGUCCGAUUAGCUAGUUGGUGAGGUAAUGGCCCACCAAGGCGACGAUCGGUAGCCGGACUGAGAGGUUGAACGGCCACAUUGGGACUGAGACACGGCCCAGACUCCUACGGGAGGCAGCAGUGGGGAAUAUUGCACAAUGGGGGAAACCCUGAUGCAGCGACGCCGCGUGGAGGAAGAAGGUCUUCGGAUUGUAAACUCCUGUUGUUGAGGAAGAUAAUGACGGUACUCAACAAGGAAGUGACGGCUAACUACGUGCCAGCAGCCGCGGUAAAACGUAGGUCACAAGCAUUGUCCGGAAUUACUGGGUGUAAAGGGAGCGCAGGCGGGAAGACAAGUUGGAAGUGAAAUCCAUGGGCUCAACCCAUGAACUGCUUUCAAAACUGUUUUUCUUGAGUAGUGCAGAGGUAGACGGAAUUCCCGGUGUAGCGGUGGAAUGCGUAGAUAUCGGGAGGAACACCAGUGGCGAAGGCGGCCUACUGGGCACCAACUGACGCUGAGGCUCGAAAGUGUGGGUAGCAAACAGGAUUAGAUACCCUGGUAGUCCACACCGUAAACGAUGAUUACUAGGUGUUGGAGGAUUGACCCCUUCAGUGCCGCAGUUAACACAAUAAGUAAUCCACCUGGGGAGUACGACCGCAAGGUUGAAACUCAAAGGAAUUGACGGGGGCCCGCACAAGCAGUGGAGUAUGUGGUUUAAUUCGACGCAACGCGAAGAACCUUACCAAGUCUUGACAUCCUGCGACGGACAUAGAAAUAUGUCUUUCCUUCGGGACGCAGAGACAGGUGGUGCAUGGUUGUCGUCAGCUCGUGUCGUGAGAUGUUGGGUUAAGUCCCGCAACGAGCGCAACCCUUAUGGUCAGUUACUACGCAAGAGGACUCUGGCCAGACUGCCGUUGACAAAACGGAGGAAGGUGGGGAUGACGUCAAAUCAUCAUGCCCUUUAUGACUUGGGCUACACACGUACUACAAUGGCGUUAAACAAAGAGAAGCAAGACCGCGAGGUGGAGCAAAACUCAGAAACAACGUCCCAGUUCGGACUGCAGGCUGCAACUCGCCUGCACGAAGUCGGAAUUGCUAGUAAUCGUGGAUCAGCAUGCCACGGUGAAUACGUUCCCGGGCCU